rnacentral:rRNA from 1 species
UCUUUUGGAGAGUUUGAUCCUGGCUCAGGACGAACGCUGGCGGCGUGCCUAAUACAUGCAAGUCGAGCGGACCGAAUAGAAGCUUGCUUCUGUUUGGUUAGCGGCGGACGGGUGAGUAACACGUGGGCAACCUGCCCGUAAGACGGGGAUAACUUCGGGAAACCGGAGCUAAUACCCGAUAACCCUGAAGACCGCAUGGUCUUUAGUUGAAAGGCGGCUUCGGCUGUCACUUACGGAUGGGCCCGCGGCGCAUUAGCUAGUUGGUGAGGUAACGGCUCACCAAGGCGACGAUGCGUAGCCGACCUGAGAGGGUGAUCGGCCACACUGGGACUGAGACACGGCCCAGACUCCUACGGGAGGCAGCAGUAGGGAAUCUUCCGCAAUGGACGAAAGUCUGACGGAGCAACGCCGCGUGAGCGAAGAAGGUCUUCGGAUUGUAAAGCUCUGUUGUUAGGGAAGAACAAGUGCGGUUCGAAUAGGGCCGUACCUUGACGGUACCUAACGAGAAAGCCACGGCUAACUACGUGCCAGCAGCCGCGGUAAUACGUAGGUGGCAAGCGUUGUCCGGAAUUAUUGGGCGUAAAGCGCGCGCAGGCGGUUCCUUAAGUCUGAUGUGAAAGCCCACGGCUCAACCGUGGAGGGUCAUUGGAAACUGGGGGACUUGAGUGCAGAAGAGGAGAGCGGAAUUC